rnacentral:lncRNA from 1 species
UUCUAAUUCUGUGACCUUUCAAUAUAGUUCCUCCUGUGUGACUCAAACCAUAAAAUUAUUUUUGUUACUACUUUAUAACUAAUAUUGCUACAGUUAUAAAUCAUAAUGUAGAUUUUUUUUUUUUUUUUUUUGGAAAUAGAGGUUUGUCAAAGGAGUCACAGCGCUGAGAACCACUGUUCUAGAAACUUGCAGGUUUUACAUAUUAGGCUGACUGGAAGAAGGUUGAAGUGCUAGUUUCAGUAGUGCCUGUCCACAUUGCCAGUGAAGACCACAAUCCUGCUAUGUAGUUCUAGAAAGGGCCAUACACAGGUGGGCUGUAGGCUGACAUUAUUCCCAAUUGGCCUGAGAAACCCCAUGCUACCCAGGAAUGACAAAAAAAUAAAUGAAUAAAUACAUUAAGCAGUUGUGAUUAACUUCCCAGGUGAUGACAAUACUGGAGAUGGGCAUGCCCCUGAGGUAGAAUGAUCCAGGCAUGGGCGUAGCCAGCCUUGAAAAUGUCAAUGACUUAGCAGGGUUCUUUUCAAAACUGAAUUUUUACAAGGGAGUUCAUAGAUGGACCUUGAUGGAAACUGACUACCAGAAAAGACUCGAUCUCUCUGCCAUGUUGGGGUCAGCAAACAAAUACCACAAGAUAAAUGCACUUCAGCAUUUCAAUUAUACCGUUUGUAUGC